rnacentral:ncRNA from 1 species
GCGACGUGUUUCGAGCUACUUUCCGACCCGUCUUGAAACACGGACCAAGGAGUCUAACGUGUGCGCGAGUCAACGGUGAUCUUACGAAAAACCACGUUUGGCGCAAUGAAAGUGAACCGUUUACGGUGCGGACGAUGGCCUAGCGACCGAACCCACCGGCGUUCAAAGUCGCGCUGGUCCGCAGUCCGGGGGCGUCUCCGCCAAGUCGGCUUCGGCCGGCUGGGGGCGCACCCUUAGCGCACACGUUGGUACCCGAAAGAUGGUGAACUAUGCCUGGCCAGGAUGAAGUCAGGGGAAACCCCUGAUGGAGGUCCGCAGCGAUUCUGACGUGCAAAUCGAUCGUCUGAGCUGGGUAUAGGGGCGAAAGACUAAUCGAACCAUCUAGUAGCUGGUUCCAUCCGAAGUUUCCCUCAGGAUAGCUGGCGCCGAUGUGUCCCGCCCGUUCGCGGGCGUACGGACGCCGGUGGGACUCCGCGCUGUACGGCGCGGUAACAACACGCUCGUAACACGGAGGAUGUCUCAUACGGUAAAGCGAAUGAUUAGAGGACAUUGGGGCCGAAACGACCUCAACCUAUUCUCAAACUAUAAAUGAGUGAGAUCGCCGGCUUUACCUGGUACACCGCGUGAACCGCGUGCGAAGCCGGCGACGGAACCCUAGGCGCUUAGUGGGCCAUUUUUGGUAAGCAGAACUGGCGCUGCGGGAUGAACCGAACGCCGAGUUAAGGCGCCGAAAUCGACGCGUAUUCAGAGACCAUGAAAGGCGUUGGUUGCUGAUGACAGCAGGACGGUGGCCAUGGAAGUCGGAAUCCGCUAAGGAGUGUGUAACAACUCACCUGCCGAAGCAACUAGCUCUGAAAAUGGAUGGCGCUGGAGCGUCGUGCCUAUACUCGGCCGUCGACGGCAUAGUGGGGCCAGUCGUCGCUCGCGGCGGCCGGUCCCGGCAAGCCUCGACGAGUAGGAUGGCGCGGCGGUGUGCGUCGAAGGGCAGGUCGCGAGACCGCCUGGAGCCGCCGUCGGUGCAGAUCUUGGUGGUAGUAGCAAAUACUCGAGAGGGGCCCUCGGGGGCUGCCGUGGAGAAGGGUUUCUUGUGAACAGCCGUUGUCCAAGAGUCAGUCGAUCCUAAGCCCCGGGGAGAGAUCCUCGUACCACGAGCGAAGGCGUUUUCGAAUCGCCCUUGGGGCGAGAGGGAAUCCGGUUCGUAUUCCGGAACCCGACGCGGAACCGCUCCCUAGUGUUCGGGGCUCUUUUUGUCUCGUCUGGGUA